rnacentral:rRNA from 1 species
AUGGGAACGCGAAGAACCUUACCUACUCUUGACAUCCAGAGAACUUUCCAGAGAUGGAUUGGUGCCUUUCGGGAACUCUGAGACAGGUGCUGCGUGGCUGUCGUCAGCUCGUGUUGUGAAAUGUUGGGUUAAGUCCCGCAACGAGCGCAACCCUUAUCCUUUGUUGCCAGCGGUUCGGCCGGGAGCUCAAAGGAGACUGCCAGUGAUAAACUGGAGGAAGGUGGGGAUGACGUCAAGUCAUCAUGGCCCUUACGAGUAGGGCUACACACGUAGCUACAAUGGCGCAUACAAAGAGAAGCGACCUCGCGAGAGCAAGCGGACCUCAUAAAGUGCGUCGUAGUCCGGAUUGGAGUCUGCAACUCGACUCCAUGAAGUCGGAAUCGCUAGUAAUCGUAGAUCAGAAUGCUACGGUGAAUACGUUCCCCGGGGUCUUGUACACACCGAGUCGUGGGG